AGAGUUUGAUCAUGGCUCAGAUUGAACGCUGGCGGAAUGCUUUACACAUGCAAGCCGAGCGGCAGCGCGGGGCAACCUGGCGGCGAGCGGCGAACGGGUGAGUAAUACAUCGGAACGUGCCCAGACGUGGGGGAUAACUACUCGAAAGAGUGGCUAAUACCGCAUACGAUCUGAGGAUGAAAGCGGGGGAUCGCAAGACCUCGCGCGUCUGGAGCGGCCGAUGGCAGAUUAGGUAGUUGGUGAGGUAAAGGCUUACCAAGCCUGCGAUCUGUAGCUGGUCUGAGAGGAUGAUCAGCCACACUGGGACUGAGACACGGCCCAGACUCCUACGGGAGGCAGCAGUGGGGAAUUUUGGACAAUGGGCGAAAGCCUGAUCCAGCCAUUCCGCGUGCAGGAUGAAGGCCCUCGGGUUGUAAACUGCUUUUGUACGGAACGAAAAAGCUCCGGCUAAUACCUGGAGUCCAUGACGGUACCGUAAGAAUAAGCACCGGCUAACUACGUGCCAGCAGCCGCGGUAAUACGUAGGGUGCAAGCGUUAAUCGGAAUUACUGGGCGUAAAGCGUGCGCAGGCGGUUUUGUAAGACAGAGGUGAAAUCCCCGGGCUCAACCUGGGAACUGCCUUUGUGACUGCAAGGCUGGAGUGCGGCAGAGGGGGAUGGAAUUCCGCGUGUAGCAGUGAAAUGCGUAGAUAUGCGGAGGAACACCGAUGGCGAAGGCAAUCCCCUGGGCCUGCACUGACGCUCAUGCACGAAAGCGUGGGGAGCAAACAGAUUAGAUACCCUGCUAGUCCACGCCCUAAACGAUGUCAACUGGUUGUUGGGAAUUCAUUUUCUCAGUAACGAGCUAACGCGUGAAAGUUGACCGCCUGGGGAGUA
rnacentral:rRNA from 1 species